ensembl:lncRNA
GAACUUUUCCAAAUACUCGUCUAUGUUUGCAUUUCCCCUUCCUGAGAACAGUGAUAUAAAAAUCAUACGAAGCCCUCUAACCUCAAGAGAGCAAAGCCCCAAACAGCAAGUAACUCAUGUGGCUUCUAAUGUAAUGAAGACGUCUGAAUCCUUUGGGGAAGAAUUUCAACAGCUUAGCUCUUACAGCAGUGCAGAUUACUAGGGUGAAAGAUACUGUACAAAACCACAGAAGAUCUGGUUUCCAAUCCCACAGCACCCUGGCUUCUCCUCUGUGAUUUCACACAGUGGGUAGGUGUUCACUACUAUUUCCCUUCUCCAGUAGAGGACAUUCAGAGGACUGUCAUACCAAUGAGCGAGAAGACAUCAGAAACUACAUGGAGGAGAUCUCCAACCUUCUGCACAGCAGUUCCUGGAAACCCACAGGCUGAGCAAACGGAAGAAGCUCUCUUGAAGACCUAUCGUUGUGCUGUACUAAAGGCUCCAAAGAGCUCCAGGGAAGCUGGAAAAAUGCCAGGAACAACAGCAACAAGUCCCCUGGAGUUGACUGAGAUGAACAGUUUUCAAACAUGCCAUAGCUAAGACAAAGCGAAUAUUUCCCUCCUUGGAGAUUUCCAAAAACUGCCUGGACACAAUCCUGGUUACCCUGCUCUGGGUGUCCCCCCUGGAGCAGGGCUUGGGCCAGUUGGCCUCCGGAGAUCCCUGCCAACCUUAACCAUUCUGUGAUCCUGUGAAACUGAUUCCAGACAAUGACAGACCCCGCUCAGGAUAAAAGGGUGCAGAGUGAGGCACUGGGCUUUUUUCCUGCACUCUCGGUUUUGCUUUAUGGUAAUAAAAGGUGACUCUUACUCUUCGGCACCACUGGUGACACAACUACAGAAGCAAAGCGAGCUUCCCUCUCUCCGCAGAAAGCUUCGAAACGCUCACCUGCAUUUUCAACAUCCAACCCUUUUCUCUGCCUUAGCUCAAAGCAAGACCUAAGUGGCAUGAUAGCCACUCAAGGAGCUCCGUGGGACCUGACCUCCAUUGUUCGUCUGGAACUGGCAGGUUGUGUUACAUCCUGCCCCUCUCCAGCCCUUGUAGAGGCCCUCACCUCCCUGCCCUCAGCGAUUGCUGCCUCUUAUGACUGCAGCCAAACAGCACAGAAAAUGAAAAACACACGCAUUCAAAGAGAUUGAGCACCUGGCAUCAGAAGUGCUUUAACUGCAGUCGCACCCAUAGUAAAAAUUAUAGUCCUAUAAAUUACAUGUGGAACUAUAAUAUGGUCAAGGUCUUUUUGAAGUUUCCGACCUAGCAAGUUAUACAUGGUAAAGGUCAUCGUAAAAGCACUGGAGAAGUUAAAAUCUGUAUGACCUCAAGAGUUUUCUGAUGACUUUUAUCAGCGUUAUCUUUUAACUCAUAUGCAUAAGAAAUCAGCAGUUGCAAAAGGUCUUGCAUAUGUAUCAGGAGAACUGCCUAUGGAACAAUGUACACUUGGCCCGAUGCAGCUGCACAUUUGAUGCUGCGUAUGGAAGGAGCACGUGCCUGUAGCUGGUAGCAUGCAAAUACAGAGGAAUGGAGGUUUCUUACUCCCCAGUAAAACACCUUCCUUCUCACCUCCAGAAUGCUUCCAGACUGAAAGCAGUGGAAGAGAUGAUUCAUACAGCAUUUGCAAGAUUUGUAAAAUCUUAUCAAUUCUGAAGUCCAAUUUGUGCUAAUCAGGGCAUAUCACAAGUGCAAAUGUUAACCCAAAGGAGCAGCUAAAUGACUGGUGCAACGAGAUGAAAUUUAACCAUCUGAAAGUUCACUCGUGGCCAUACGAACAAAUCACCACCCUCCUCCAUUCGUCCUGCUGCUUACUUCCCACUCUUAAACAAUCGUAACAAGAUGAUGUGUCUUGAACCCUAAUCCACCACCUUUGACAUAAACUCCUGUGAGCAGGUCAGUGUCAGCAUGCAACCACGCAUGUUUCCCUUAGGAACUGGGCAGCUGGCUGCUAUUCUCAUCCAAGAUCACAGUUCCCCUUGAGAGAUGCCAAGACACUCGUGCUGCCUCAUCUGCCAUUGAGCACAGGGCACAGAGACUCCAGGAAAGUCAGAGAUCUGCCUUCAGACUGGUUCUUACUUUCUUCUACUGAGGUUUUCCAGCUCCUUUUAAAACCUACCUAAAAACCUCCACAAACAACCAGUGGGGCAGGAUGUUGCACAGCUGAACUUGUUAAGUAGCAGGCAAUACGUUUAGGGGAUCCUCAUUCGUUUCUCCUUUGCGUCAAUCAUCAGCAUCAAAUAAGAAAAGUGAGCAUUUCCCAGGAGUGUCAGUGAACUGACGCAAUUUCAGCAGCUUUGUACGCAGUAUAUAAAACUCAAAGGAGUAAAGUUCAAUUUUAAUUGUGCAGCUGAUAUCAUGAAGUAAACAGGCGUUUUCUUCUAAAGACUUUUAAAACAGAUUUUUAAUCUUUCGGGACAGCUUAGCGUAAGAGUCCAAUGCUACUUUCAGCUAUAAAUCUAUAAAUCACUGUAAACCUCGAGUAACUCGGAUAAUCUUCUCAAUCCAACACCAAAAUCAUAUUUUCUUCUUCACUGAAACUUUGAGAUUGUGCAAUGAAGGAAAUGCUCGAUGGAAUAACUCCAGACUUUGAACAAGGCUACAGAAACUGCUGCUUCGACUGUCUGAACUGCCUUUCCUCCUGCAAGCUGGUAAUGAGGCUGAUUAGUUACUAUUUAGAAGAAUCCCAUCUUUUGUUCAGUUGGAUGCAGAAAAAGCAGCGUUCUAAACCCAACAUUUCCAAACCAUGAACUGAACCCUGGUUCUAAACCAGUAAAACUUCCUAGUUUCUUAGUUUCAGGUUGAAACUUCUCAGCAAAAUAGAACCUGAGAUUUAUAAUGCUUAUGUCAACUGGUCUUGAACCAUACCAGUGUCAUACUGCGUUCCAUGCCCAAC